AUUGAACGCUGGCGGCAUGCCUUACACAUGCAAGUCGAACGGCAGCACGGGAGCAAUCCUGGUGGCGAGUGGCGAACGGGUGAGUAAAGUAUCGGAACGUGCCCAGUCGUGGGGGAUAACGUAGCGAAAGUUACGCUAAUACCGCAUACGAUCUAUGGAUGAAAGCGGGGGAUCGCAAGACCUCGCGCGAUUGGAGCGGCCGAUAUCAGAUUAGGUAGUUGGUGGGGUAAAGGCUCACCAAGCCGACGAUCUGUAGCUGGUCUGAGAGGACGACCAGCCACACUGGGACUGAGACACGGCCCAGACCCCUACGGGAGGCAGCAGUGGGGAAUAUUGGACAAUGGGCGAAAGCCUGAUCCAGCCAUGCCGCGUGCAGGAUGAAGGCCUUCGGGUUGUAAACUGCUUUUGUACGGAACGAAAAGGUUUGGGCUAAUAAGCUGAGCUCAUGACGGUACCGUAAGAAUAGGCACCGGCUAACUACGUGCCAGCCGCCGCUGUAA
rnacentral:rRNA from 1 species